rnacentral:piRNA from 1 species
UUGGAGGUGCAAUCCCUGUGA